UACGAAGGGGGCUAGCGUUGCUCGGAAUCAUUGGGCGUAAAGCGCACGUAGGCGGUCCAGCAAGCGGGGAGUGAAAGCCCUCGGCUUAACCGAGGAAGUGCUUUCCGAACUACUGGACUUGAGUACUGAAGAGGGUCGCGGAAUUCCCGGUGUAGAGGUGAAAUUCGUAGAUAUCGGGAGGAACACCAGUGGCGAAGGCGGCGACCUGGGCAGAUACUGACGCUGAGGUGCGAAAGCGUGGGGAGCAAACAGG
rnacentral:rRNA from 1 species